rnacentral:rRNA from 1 species
UACGAAGGGGGCUAGCGUUGCUCGGAAUCACUGGGCGUAAAGCGCACGUAGGCGGGUCCUUAAGUCAGGGGUGAAAUCCCGGAGCUCAACUCCGGAACUGCCUUUGAUACUGGGGAUCUUGAGUCCGGAAGAGGUGAGUGGAACUCCGAGUGUAGAGGUGAAAUUCGUAGAUAUUCGGAAGAACACCAGUGGCGAAGGCGGCUCUCUGGGACGGUACUGACGCUGAGACGCGAAAGCGUGGGGAGCGAACAGG